AACUUUGCACUGGCUUAAGGUUCACCGCAAGGUGAUCAAAAGGGAACUGGGUGUGAAUCCCAGACAGUCCGGCUGCUGUGAGUUGUCCUUAUUAGACACAAACAGAGACCACUGAACGAAUGUUCUGGAAGGCGUUUGUGAUCAGGCAACAAAGUCAGAAGACCUGCCUCUGCUCCUGCUUCGACG
rnacentral:ncRNA from 13 species